AACGAACGCUGGCGGCAUGCCUAACACAUGCAAGUCGAACGAGACCUUCGGGUCUAGUGGCGCACGGGUGCGUAACGCGUGGGAACCUGCCCUUAGGUUCGGAAUAACUCCCCGAAAGGGGUGCUAAUACCGGAUAAUGCCUUCGGACCAAAGAUUUAUCGCCUUUGGAUGGGCCCGCGUUGGAUUAGCUAGUUGGUAGGGUAAAAGCCUACCAAGGCGACGAUCCAUAGCUGGUCUGAGAGGAUGAUCAGCCACACUGGGACUGAGACACGGCCCAGACUCCUACGGGAAGCAGCAGUGGGGAAUAUUGGACAAUGGGCGAAAGCCUGAUCCAGCAAUGCCGCGUGAGUGAUGAAGGCCUUAGGGUUGUAAAGCUCUUUUACCCGGGAUGAUAAUGACAGUACCGGGAGAAUAAGCUCCGGCUAACUCCGUG
rnacentral:rRNA from 1 species